rnacentral:rRNA from 1 species
GAUGAACGCUGGCGGCGUGCCUAAUACAUGCAAGUCGAGCGAACAGACGAGGAGCUUGCUCCUCUGACGUUAGCGGCGGACGGGUGAGUAACACGUGGAUAACCUACCUAUAAGACUGGGAUAACUUCGGGAAACCGGAGCUAAUACCGGAUAAUAUAUUGAACCGCAUGGUUCAAUAGUGAAAGACGGUUUUGCUGUCGCUUAUAGAUGGAUCCGCGCCGCAUUAGCUAGUUGGUAAGGUAACGGCUUACCAAGGCAACGAUGCGUAGCCGACCUGAGAGGGUGAUCGGCCACACUGGAACUGAGACACGGUCCAGACUCCUACGGGAGGCAGCAGUAGGGAAUCUUCCGCAAUGGGCGAAAGCCUGACGGAGCAACGCCGCGUGAGUGAUGAAGGUCUUCGGAUCGUAAAACUCUGUUAUUAGGGAAGAACAAAUGUGUAAGUAACUAUGCACGUCUUGACGGGACCUAAUCAGAAAGCCACGGCUAACUACGU